AUUGAACGCUGGCGGCAGGCCUAACACAUGCAAGUCGAGCGAGCGGCGGACGGGUGAGUAAUAUAUCGGAACGUGCCCCGUAUCGGGGGAUAACUACUCGAAAGAGUGGCUAAUACCGCAUACUAUUUGAUCUGCCCAGAUCGGAUUAGCUAGUGGGUGGGGUAAAGGCUCACCAAGGCAACGAUCCCUAGCUGGUUUGAGAGGACGACCAGCCACACUGGGACUGAGACACGGCCCAGACUCCUACGGGAGGCAGCAGUGGGGAAUAUUGGACAAUGGGCGCAAGCCUGAUGCAGCCAUGCCGCGUGUAUGAAGAAGGCCUUCGGGUUGUAAAGUACUUUCGGCAGGGAGGCGGUAUCCGCAGAAUAAGCACCGGCUAACUACGUGCCAGCCGCCGCGGUAAUUC
rnacentral:rRNA from 1 species